UCCGGAGCCAGGACGCGACGUGUACUGAGGGGGAGAGCGCCGUGGUGAGGGGCCCUGACGCCUACCUGGCUGCCUUCGCUUCCCUGGGCCCCCAAGAGUUGGCUCAGAUCGUCAGAGGGCGAGAUAACGAAAACGGCCCGGAGCAGCCGCGGAAGGUGGACUCCUGUUCCCUUCGACGCCGGGAUGACCACACAGCUGCGCGCGGGGUCCAGAAAAGCCAUUCCGCGCCCUCUCCGGGCGGUGCCGUCCUCAGCACGCAGGCACGCCCCGGUCCAGCGCCGCUGGGCACGGACGAGGGGGCCGCGGCCCUGGCCAGCCGCACCUGCCGCACCUGGGAGCUGGCCAGGGGGCGGGUCCGGGUACCACGAGGCUGGGGGCACUCCGACCUCCGACGUGCCGCCUGCAGCUGCCGCCCUCCCCCCACCCCGUCUUCCUGCCCCUCCAGCUCGGAGGACAGACCCUCGGAUAGACCAAGCUUACUUUCCGGCCCUCGCUUUCCGGGUGCUGUCCGAGAAACCCCCACGUCGCCAGGCUGGACGCCCACACUUCAACGCUGAGCCGACGAAAGCACACAAGCAGCAGCUGCCGGCCGUCAGACAGCGCCGUCCGCUUGUGCUCCGGCCCCCGGCGUCCCCGGUCAGUCAAGCCCAAGCCCUUGCGUUCCGCGUGUCGGGCAGCAGAGAGAAAGUCUUCCCCCGACAGUCCUCUCCCGCACGCCAAGGAGAGGCCCGAGAAGCGGCUCCCGAGGCGACCCGGAAGCGGAAGUCGAAGAAAGUUCUAGUGGCUUGAGCGGCGUGAGCGUCCGGUUGGCGUGAGAGGCGUUUUGUUAGUUUUUUCUUGCGUUUUUCUUUUUUUUCCGGUUAAUGUGGCUUUAAUUGGUUUUUUAUGUUUUUUUUUGGGGGGGGUUGU
rnacentral:lncRNA from 1 species